rfam:Triticum urartu cultivar G1812 contig639478, whole genome shotgun sequence.
UUUAUACUCCCUCCGUCCAGAAAUACUUAUCCGAGAAAUGAAUGUAUCUAGAUGUAUUUUAGUUCUAGAUACAUCUAUUUGUAUCCAUUUCUACGACAAGUAUUUCCGGACGGAGGGAGUAUUUA